GGGUUGUGAGGUUAAGCGACUAAGCGUACACGGUGGAUGCCCUGGCAGUCAGAGGCGAUGAAGGGCGUGCUAAUCUGCGAUAAGCGCCGGUAAGGUGAUAUGAACCGUUAUAACCGGCGAUACCCGAAUGGGGAAACCCAGUGUGACUCGUCACACUAUCAUUAACUGAAUCCAUAGGUUAAUGAGGCGAACCGGGGGAACUGAAACAUCUAAGUACCCCGAGGAAAAGAAAUCAACCGAGAUUCCCCCAGUAGCGGCGAGCGAACGGGGAGGAGCCCAGAGCCUGAAUCAGCAUGUGUGUUAGUGGAAGCGUCUGGAAAGGCGCGCGAUACAGGGUGACAGCCCCGUACACAAAAGCGCAUGUGCUGUGAGCUCGAUGAGUAGGGCGGGACACGUGGUAUCCUGUCUGAAUAUGGGGGGACCAUCCUCCAAGGCUAAAUACUCCUGACUGACCGAUAGUGAACCAGUACCGUGAGGGAAAGGCGAAAAGAACCCCGGCGAGGGGAGUGAAAAAGAACCUGAAACCGUGUACGUACAAGCAGUGGGAGCACCCUUUGGGUGUGACUGCGUACCUUUUGUAUAAUGGGUCAGCGACUUAUAUUCUGUAGCAAGGUUAACCGAAUAGGGGAGCCGGAGGGAAACCGAGUCUUAACCGGGCGUUAAGUUGCAGGGUAUAGACCCGAAACCCGGUGAUCUAGCCAUGGGCAGGUUGAAGGUUGGGUAACACUAACUGGAGGACCGAACCGACUAAUGUUGAAAAAUUAGCGGAUGACCUGUGGCUGGGGGUGAAAGGCCAAUCAAACCGGGAGAUAGCUGGUUCUCCCCGAAAGCUAUUUAGGUAGCGCCUCGUGAAUUCAUCUCCGGGGGUAGAGCACUGUUUCGGCUAGGGGGCCAUCCCGGCUUACCAACCCGAUGCAAACUGCGAAUACCGGAGAAUGUUAUCACGGGAGACACACGGCGGGUGCUAACGUCCGUCGUGAAGAGGGAAACAACCCAGACCGCCAGCUAAGGUCCCAAAGUCAUGGUUAAGUGGGAAACGAUGUGGGAAGGCCCAGACAGCCAGGAUGUUGGCUUAGAAGCAGCCAUCAUUUAAAGAAAGCGUAAUAGCUCACUGGUCGAGUCGGCCUGCGCGGAAGAUGUAACGGGGCUAAACCAUGCACCGAAGCUGCGGCAGCGACACUGUGUGUUGUUGGGUAGGGGAGCGUUCUGUAAGCCUGUGAAGGUGUGUCGUGAGGCAUGCUGGAGGUAUCAGAAGUGCGAAUGCUGACAUAAGUAACGAUAAAGCGGGUGAAAAGCCCGCUCGCCGGAAGACCAAGGGUUCCUGUCCAACGUUAAUCGGGGCAGGGUGAGUCGACCCCUAAGGCGAGGCCGAAAGGCGUAGUCGAUGGGAAACGGGUUAAUAUUCCCGUACUUGGUGUUACUGCGAAGGGGGGACGGAGAAGGCUAUGUUGGCCGGGCGACGGUUGUCCCGGUUUAAGCGUGUAGGUGUGUGUUCCAGGUAAAUCCGGUUCACUUUAACACUGAGGCGUGACGACGAGGCACUACGGUGCUGAAGCAACAAAUGCCCUGCUUCCAGGAAAAGCCUCUAAGCAUCAGGUAACAUCAAAUCGUACCCCAAACCGACACAGGUGGUCAGGUAGAGAAUACCAAGGCGCUUGAGAGAACUCGGGUGAAGGAACUAGGCAAAAUGGUGCCGUAACUUCGGGAGAAGGCACGCUGACACGUAGGUGAAGUGAUUUACUCAUGGAGCUGAAGUCAGUCGAAGAUACCAGCUGGCUGCAACUGUUUAUUAAAAACACAGCACUGUGCAAACACGAAAGUGGACGUAUACGGUGUGACGCCUGCCCGGUGCCGGAAGGUUAAUUGAUGGGGUCAGCGCAAGCGAAGCUCCUGAUCGAAGCCCCGGUAAACGGCGGCCGUAACUAUAACGGUCCUAAGGUAGCGAAAUUCCUUGUCGGGUAAGUUCCGACCUGCACGAAUGGCGUAAUGAUGGCCAGGCUGUCUCCACCCGAGACUCAGUGAAAUUGAACUCGCUGUGAAGAUGCAGUGUACCCGCGGCAAGACGGAAAGACCCCGUGAACCUUUACUAUAGCUUGACACUGAACAUUGAGCCUUGAUGUGUAGGAUAGGUGGGAGGCUUUGAAGUGUGGACGCCAGUCUGCAUGGAGCCGACCUUGAAAUACCACCCUUUAAUGUUUGAUGUUCUAACGUGGACCCGUUACCCGGGUUGCGGACAGUGUCUGGUGGGUAGUUUGACUGGGGCGGUCUCCUCCUAAAGAGUAACGGAGGAGCACGAAGGUUGGCUAAUCCUGGUCGGACAUCAGGAGGUUAGUGCAAUGGCAUAAGCCAGCUUGACUGCGAGCGUGACGGCGCGAGCAGGUGCGAAAGCAGGUCAUAGUGAUCCGGUGGUUCUGAAUGGAAGGGCCAUCGCUCAACGGAUAAAAGGUACUCCGGGGAUAACAGGCUGAUACCGCCCAAGAGUUCAUAUCGACGGCGGUGUUUGGCACCUCGAUGUCGGCUCAUCACAUCCUGGGGCUGAAGUAGGUCCCAAGGGUAUGGCUGUUCGCCAUUUAAAGUGGUACGCGAGCUGGGUUUAGAACGUCGUGAGACAGUUCGGUCCCUAUCUGCCGUGGGCGCUGGAGAACUGAGGGGGGCUGCUCCUAGUACGAGAGGACCGGAGUGGACGCAUCACUGGUGUUCGGGUUGUCAUGCCAAUGGCACUGCCCGGUAGCUAAAUGCGGAAGAGAUAAGUGCUGAAAGCAUCUAAGCACGAAACUUGCCCCGAGA
rnacentral:rRNA from 2 species